rnacentral:lncRNA from 1 species
GAUUCAAAAUGCUGUUUAUUUAGGUUUUAGGUUAAAGUUUUUUUUGUAUUAGUGCAAUUUUAAAGUAAUGGUCUCCUGUAUAAGGCUAUUAAUACGUUUACAGUUAGACAAAUGUUCUGUUUUACCGUUUCCUAAAAUGUGCAGUAAGACUGUUUUGCGUGUAUGAUCCAAAACGCAGUUUGUUUCAUUUAAGUGCGUCUUCCUACAUGCUAAGUAUAUGCUUCAAUUAUUUGUUUUUGUGGUCACAAAUGUUUUUUUAUUUUCUUUAUAUAUCGUUUUGGGGUUGGGUGUUAAUCAGAUUUAAUUUUAGUGUGUCGCAAAGACAAAGAAGUGGUGUGGCUCACGUUAUAAUGUCAAACAAACUAUCCUUUUACAAAUCAUUGCCGGCUUCUAAACUUGAUGUCUGUGUAAUAAAGCUCUAAACUAAGAAAAUAAUAGAGCAAUAAGAUUCAGCCAAAGU